rfam:Parcubacteria bacterium GW2011_GWC1_38_17 TS79_C0008, whole genome shotgun sequence.
GGAGAGGUGGCUGAGCGGUCCAAAGCAGCAGGUUGCUAACCUGUGGCCAUCUAAAAGUGGCCCGUGGGUUCAAAUCCCACCCUCUCCG